GUGCCAGCCGCCGCGGUAACACGAACCGUACAAACGUUACUCGGAUUUACUGGGCUUAAAGGGUGCGUAGGCGGCUUGUUAAGUUGGGUGUGAAAGCCCUCGGCUCAACCGAGGAAUGGCGCUCAAAACUGGCGAGCUUGAGGGAGACAGAGGUGAGCGGAACUUAGGGUGGAGCGGUGAAAUGCGUUGAUAUCCUAAGGAACACCAGGGGCGAAAGCGGCUCACUGGGUCUUUUCUGACGCUGAGGCACGAAAGCCAGGGGAGCGAAGAGGAUUAGAUACCCUCGUAGUCC
rnacentral:rRNA from 1 species